rnacentral:lncRNA from 1 species
UUUAAUUUAAUUAUCGUACUUUUAAAAUUUUAAUUUUACUACUGACUAUUCUAAUUUAUUUGAUUUGGACUGGUUAAUGACUUCUUAAUUUCAAAAUUUAAAUGUAAUGUUUAUCAUUAAAGAUAUAUAUUGUUAAAGAUAAUGGAUAAGGAUAAACCUAUUCUACCUGUUUUGAGAAAAUAUCUCAACCAACUAUAUCUAUUGAUUUGUUAUUCAGUUUUGAAUGUAACAAACAUAGUCAUCAUACCUGUAUAUAUGUAUCAUAAACUAUGAAUGAAUAUCAGAGUGGAGAUUUAUCUCUAAUCCUUCUUUACAUGGUAUCAGAGCCCCCAAGUUUAGAUGUUGAAUCUGUCCCUUCUACAAAUCCUGUUGACACCUCCACAAGAACAUGUCAUCCCAUGAUAACACGCAGCAAAGAUGGUACACGCAAACCAAAGGUUUUUCAUACCUCUCGACACCCAGUGCCCCAAUAUUGCUUGCAAAUUACUAAUGAUGAGCUUCUUUUUGAACCUACAUCAUAUCCUGAAGCCUCUAAAGAUCCUCAAUGGCGCCAUGCUAUGGCAGAAGAAUUCAAUGCUUUACUCAAGAAUCAUACACGGUCACUUAUUCCUCCACCGUCAAAUUGCAAUAUUAUUGGUUGCAAGUGGGUGUAUAAGGUUAAACAAAAAUCUGAUGGCAGUGUUGAACGCUUCAAAGCUCGUUUGGUUGCUAAAGGAUAUCAUCAACAAGAAGGACUUGAUUAUGAUGAUACAUUUAGUCCAGUAGUUAAACCACAAACUAUUCGCAUCGUCCUGUCGCUUGCACUCUCCAAAGAAUUGCCAAUUAUGCAAUUAGAUGUUAAAAAUGCCUUUUUGCAUGGCACAUUAAAUGAGGAGGUAUAUAUGUUACAACCUCCAGGAUUUGUUGAUCCUUUAUACCCUUCACACGUAUGUCGGUUGCGCAAAGCAAUAUAUGGUCUUAAGCAAGCUCCACGAGCUUGGUUUCAAAGCUUCAAUGGCUAUCUUCUUCACUUGGGUUUUCAUUCUAGCACUGCAGAUUCCUCUUUAUUUAUUAAGAAAUUGAAUUCAGGCAUUCUCAUAUUACUUGUUUACGUGGAUGAUAUUAUUGUCACCGGAAGUAAUGCGACAUUAUUGGCCAAUCUUCUUACAGAUUUACAAGUUCGCUUUGAUAUGAAAAAUUUAGGAACCUUGAAUUACUUCCUUGGAAUACAUGCUAUGUUGGACCGUAAGGGGUUAUUUUUGAAUCAAACAAAAUAUUCUCUUAGUCUGCUCCGUAAAUGCCAUAUGGAUGGCUGUAAACCAAUUUCCUCUCCAAUUGCUCCUGGAUCGAAAUUAUCUCUAUUUGAUGGUGAUCUACUACCUGAUGCUACUGAAUAUAGACGUAUAGUUGGAGGCUUACAAUAUUUAACCUUUAUGCGACUUGACCUUACUUAUGCAGUCAAUAAGGUGUGUCAAUUCAUGCAUGCACCUCGCACUUCGCAUUUUAAUGCUGUCAAAAGAAUUUUGCGCUACCUAACAGGCACUCUUGAUUCUGGAAUUCACAUUACGAAGAAUUAUUCCUUCGAUAUCUCUUGCUAUUCAUAUGCUGAUUGGGCAGGUUGUCUUGAUGAUCGUCGCUCGACAUCUGGUUAUGCUAUAUAUAUUGGCUCUAAUCUUGUAUCAUGGUCUGCUAAGGAACAGAAAACUGUUUCACGAUCAAGCACGGAAGCUGAAUAUCACGGUAUUGCAAAUGUUGCAGCUGAAAUCCAAUGGCUUCAAUAUCUUCUAUCAGAUUUAGGGAUAUCCUCCAACAAUUCUCCGGUACUAUAUUGCGACAAUAUUAGUGCGACUUAUAUAACUGCUAAUCCAAUCUUUCAUUGUCGUACCAAACAUAUUGAGAUUGAUGUUCACUUUGUUCGUGACAUGGUUCGCCAACAAAAAUUACGAGUUCUCUUCAUCCCGGGUGAAUCUCAAAUUGCAGAUGUCAUGACUAAAGGCAUAUCUUCACCAAAGUUCAAGAUGCUACGUUCCAAGCUUACCGUCAUUCCUAUACCGUUCAGCUUGCAAGAGGGUGUUAAAGAUAAUGGAUAAGGAUAAACCUAUUCUACCUGUUUUGAGAAAAUAUCUCAACCAACUAUAUCUAUUGAUUUGUUAUUCAGUUUUGAUGAUUUGUUAUUCAGUUUUGAAUGUAACAAACAUAGUCAUCAUACCUGUAUAUAUGUAUCAUAAACUAUGAAUGAAUAUCAGAGUGGAG